UCAACUUGAGAGUUUGAUCCUGGCUCAGGACGAACGCUGGCGGCAGGCUUAACACAUGCAAGUCGAACGACCCGCAAGGGGAGUGGCAGACGGGUGAGUAACACGUGGGAACAUGCACAAAGGGACG
rnacentral:rRNA from 1 species